rnacentral:misc_RNA from 1 species
UACGGAGGGUGCACGCGUUGUCCGGAAUUAUUGGGUGUAAAGGGUGUGCAGGCGGAAGUCUAAGGCGGAGGUGAAAAGUUGCCGCUUAACGGUAACCGUGCCUUCGAUACUGGAUUACUUGAGUUCGGUAGAGGUUGGUGGAAUUCGUGGUGUAGCGGUGAAAUGCAUAGAUAUGACGAAGAACAACAGUGGCGAAGGCGGCCAACUGGUCCGAUACUGACGCUGAGACACGAGAGCGUGGGGAGCGAACAGG